GGAAUAAAAAAGCAUUUACUUGCAUUUAUAUCACCUAACAAGAAUGGGACCAUAUUGGAUGACAUUAAAUUCAUCCUGUACUUAAUCUUCGUCUUCGUAGUGAUAAUAGGAAUAUUGGGGAAUUCACCCAACAUGUGGUAUUGGUGCAAAAACCAUGUUUGUGAUUCCAUUGCGAACACUAAUUUUCAAGAUGGUACUGAAGAAAUAAACUUCUAUAACAUGUCAAGCAUACCUCAGUUCUGGAAGUUCACAGAGACUGUACUAAUCGACAGUAUUUACGGGAAAUCCGAAAAUGUUAAAAAUCAAGCAUUUGUGUUGCAAGAUAGUA